CUUUUACCUGAGUUAGCCCAUAAGAGCUGAGUGACUACCGUUCUCGCGUGCAUCAGUCCACGGUCUAUUCAGCUAAAUAUGCAUCGUGAUUGUAUCUUUGCUAAGCCUAUUAUACUUUUGUACUGACUUGUAUCACAGAUGGUAUCUUAGUUGAGUGAAUACCUAGAAUAAUACAUCUAUACCUAGACACAAGAAAAAUGAACAUUUGGA